AUUGAACGCUGGCGGCAGGCCUAACACAUGCAAGUCGAACGAGUGGCGGACGGGUGAGUAAUGUCUGGGAAACUGCCCGAUGGAGGGGGGUAACUACUGGAAACGGUAGCUAAUACCGCAUACCAUCGGAUGUGCCCAGAUGGGAUUAGCUAGUAGGUGGGGUAACGGCUCACCUAGGCGACGAUCCCUAGCUGGUCUGAGAGGAUGACCGGCAAAACGGGAACUGAGACACGGUCCGGACUCCUACGGGGGGCAGCGGUGGGAAAUAUUGCACAAUGGGCGCAAGCUUGAUGAAGCCCGGCCGCUUGUAGGAAGAAGGCUUUCGGGUUGUAAAGUACUUUCAGCGAGGAGGCGUUACUCGCAGAGGAAGCACCGGCUAACUCCGUGCCAGCAGCCGCGGUAAUUC
rnacentral:rRNA from 1 species